AGUUAGAAAAAGCCCGGGCUAGGACCGAGGAGCAGGGUGAGGGAGGGGGUGGGAUGGGUGGGGGGUAACGGGGGAAACUGGGGAAGUGGGGAACCGAGGGGCAACCAGGGGAAGAUGGGGUGCUGGAGGAGAGCUUGUGGGAGCCAAGGAGCACCUUGGACAUCUGGAGUCUGGCAGGAGUGAUGACGGGUGGAGGGGCUAGCUCGGGGCAGGGCUGGUGGGGCCUGAGGCCAGUGAGGAGUGUGGAGUAGGCGCCCAGGCAUCGUGCAGACAGGGCGACAUCAGCUGGGGACGAUGGGCCUGAGCUAGGGCUGGAAAGAAGGGGGAGCCAGGCAUUCAUCCCGGUCACUUUUGGUUACAGGACGUGGCAGCUGGUUGGACGAGGGGAGCUGGUGGGCAGGGUUUGAUCCCAGGGCCUGGGCAACGGAGGUGUAGCUGGCAGCAGCGGGCAGGUGAGGACCCCAUCUGCCGGGCAGGUGAGUCCCUUCCCUCCCCAGGCCUCGCUUCCCCAGCCUUCUGAAAGAAGGAGGUUUAGGGGAUCGAGGGCUGGCGGGGAGAAGCAGACACCCUCCCAGCAGAGGGGCAGGAUGGGGGCAGGAGAGUUAGCAAAGGUGACAUCUUCUCGGGGGGAGCCGAGACUGCGCAAGGCUGGGGGGCUGUGGGCCCGUUCCAGGCAGAAAGAGCAAGAGGGCAGGGAGGGAGCACAGGGGUGGCCAGCGUAGGGUCCAGCACGUGGGGUGGUACCCCAGGCCUGGGUCAGACAGGGACAAGGCAGGGGACACAGGACAGAGGGGUCCCCAGCUGCCACCUCACCCACCGCAAUUCAUUUAGUAGCAGGCACAGGGGCAGCUCCGGCACGGCUUUCUCAGGCCUGUGCCGGAGCCUCGAGGGCUGGAGAGCGGGAAGACAGGCAGUGCUCGGGGAGUUGCAGCAGGACGUCACCAGGAGGGCGAAGCGGCCACGGGAGGGGGGCCCCGGGACAUUGCGCAGCAAGGAGGCUGCAGGGGCUCGGCCUGCGGGCGCCGGUCCCACGAGGCACUGCGGCCCAGGGUCUGGUGCGGAGAGGGCCCACAGUGGACUUGGUGACGCUGUAUGCCCUCACCGCUCAGCCCCUGGGGCUGGCUUGGCAGACAGUACAGCAUCCAGGGGAGUCAAGGGCAUGGGGCGAGACCAGACUAGGCGAGGCGGGCGGGGCGGAGUGAAUGAGCUCUCAGGAGGGAGGCUCGUGCAGGCAGGGGUGAGGAGCGCAGCCGGCGGCGAGCGGGAGGCACUGGCCUCCAGAGCCCGUGGCCAAGGCGGGCCUCGCGGGCGGCGACGGAGCCGGGAUCGGUGCCUCAGCGUUCGGGCUGGAGACGAGGCCAGGUCUCCAGCUGGGGUGGACGUGCCCACCAGCCGCCGAAGGCCAGGACGCCAGGUCCGGUGGACGUGACAAGCAGGACGUGACAUGGUCCGGUGUGACGGCGAGGACAGAGGAGGCGCGUCCGGCCUUCCUGAACACCUUAGGCUGGUGGGGCUGCGGCAAGAAGCGGGUCUGUUUCUUUACUUCCUCCACGGAGUCGGCACACUAUGGCUGCCCUCUGGGCUCCCAGAACCCACAACAUGAAAGGUGAGGGGCUUCCUGCCACACUUGGGGUGGGGGGCACGCGAGAGGAGCUGAGUGGGACCUCACUCCUUCCCCAUCCACAGAAAUGGUGCUACCCAGCUCAAGCCUGGGCCUUUGAAUCCGGACACAAAACCCUCUAGCUUGGAAAUGAAUAUGCUGCACUUUACAACCACUGCACUACCCGACUCAGGAAUCGGCUCUGGAAGGUGAAGCUAGAGGAACCAGACCUCAUCAGCCCAACAUCAAAGACACCAUCGGAACAGCAGCGCCCGCAGCACCCACCCCGCACCGGCGACUCCAUCUUCAUGGCCACCCCCUGCGGCGGACGGUUGACCACCAGCCACCACAUCAUCCCAGAGCUGAGCUCCUCCAGCGGGAUGACGCCGUCCCCACCACCUCCCUCUUCUUCUUUUUCAUCCUUCUGUCUCUUUGUUUCUGAGCUUUCCUGUCUUUCCUUUUUUCUGAGAGAUUCAAAGCCUCCACGACUCUGUUUCCCCCGUCCCUUCUGAAUUUAAUUUGCACUAAGUCAUUUGCACUGGUUGGAGUUGUGGAGACGGCCUUGAGUCUUGGUGCGAGUGUGUGUGAGUGUGAGCCACCUUGGCAAGUGCCCGCCCAGGGCCCGGCCGCCCUCCAUCUGGGCCGGGUGACUGGGCGCCGGCUGUGUGCCCGAGGCCUCACCCUGCCCUCGCCUAGUCUGGAAGCUCCGACCGACAUCACGGAGCAGCCUUCAAGCAUUCCAUUACACCCAUCUCGCUCUGUGCCCCUCCCCACCAGGGCUUCAGCAGGAGCCCUGGACUCAUCAUCAAUAAACACUGUUACAGCAACUUGUCUCAAGGA
rnacentral:lncRNA from 1 species